UACGUAGGGUGCGAGCGUUAAUCGGAAUUACUGGGCGUAAAGCGUGCGCAGGCGGUUAUGCAAGGCAGAUGUGAAAUCCCCGGGCUCAACCUGGGAACUGCAUUUGUGACUGCAUGGCUGGAGUGCGGCAGAGGGGGAUGGAAUUCCGCGUGUAGCAGUGAAAUGCGUAGAUAUGCGGAGGAACACCGAUGGCGAAGGCAAUCCCCUGGGCCUGCACUGACGCUCAUGCACGAAAGCGUGGGGAGCAAACAGG
rnacentral:rRNA from 1 species